UAAAAUGGCUGCCCAACAUCACGCGUGUCUUAAAAUGGCUGCCCAACAUCACACACGUGCAGUUGUGCGUAUCACUGAAUGCACUUAAUUGGUCAGGUUUGCUUUCAAGUUAGUAAUGACUUGACCAAUUACAGUAAAUUGUAUUACAGAAAAUCAAGUAAAACCAGGAAGCUUGAAAAAAUUAGAAAGUGAAUCGAAAAAAAAUGAACUUUUGCAUACGUAACGCAUGUGCGAUUGAGUGCAUUGUUGAGAUGCACAUAGUUGGUCAGCUUUGCUUUUAAUUAGAUUAAGCUUGUAAUGACAAACAAUUCCAGUAAAUUUAAAUGUAAUUACAGAACAUAGAACUAAAGCAGACAACCAAAAAAAUUUAGUAAAAAUUUAAUAUGCACAGUGGCACUUUUUCAUUGUUUUGAGCAUAGUGUAUACCUCACUGUGAUAAUGUUGCUGGUAGCGCCCCCUACUGUCCCCUCUCUAUCUACUGAUCACUAAUACUCAACACCACCCUGUGAAGAAGAAAUGGAAAUGCCUGCCAUAGUCCGCAGGUUAGCAGUGCAUUUCCUGACAAUCUCCACAUGGACACGGUGACCUAUCCUUCUUGCAUCGCCAUGGCGACGAGGGGGCAGAAAGAGCUGAAGUCGGUCCUGCAGCAUUAGAAGGGGAUAAGGAAGCAGUUGGUGAUUGGCGUAAGAACAUUGAGGAAAAGGCCGGCAUGGGCGGCAGGAAGAAGAUGUUUGAGGGAGGAGAGGCUUAGAUUCCUUCUGAUGCUGGAUUCAUAGUCUUGAAAUGCUCAUGCCGGCCGAAUGACACUGUAUUUGGACUCUCUCUUCGUUCAUACUCUUAUGUGCACAUGAUUAUCUUUUUUAAAUUAUUGAAUUUUGAAGUCAAAGUACAGAGAUUUGUUUUUUUUUUGUGGAAAAGGUCUUCUGUACUGAAAAAUGUUACCAGGUAAAUGUUACUCAGAAAUACAAAUCAAGGCUGAUGUUUUCAAGGCUUCACUGUUACUAAAUGAAUAAUUUAAAAAGGAAUCUCAAAAUCUCAAAUCUUUGCAAUCCCAGCUUGCUGCUCUCAGUCAGUCAGCUCUAUUCUAAAUGGUAGCCUUUUCAAUAGCGCUGUCCACGCCAGGGUCAAAUAAUUAUUUAAAAACUUUAAUUAAUUUUUCAGGUGUCAAAAGGUUAUUUCAGAUUAUAAACAACAACAACAAAAAAAGUAUUUCAUGUGAUUGUACAUUCUGGUUUGUAAUAUUUUUAUUGAACAUUCUCAGUGAUCAGCAGGAUGUUUUCAAAUUUCAUCGGUUAAAAUAUCUUGUGUUGAAAUAUUUAAAAUAUGUAUGUAAUCAAUGUAUAGGCACACAGUGCAAUACCUUGGGUUUAGUUUCAUUUUAUUGGACAUUUUGUAACUACCACAUCAGGGUUCAUAGCUCUAUCACUUCUUGUUGAUUUUGAGGUGAAAUGGACCCCCUUGGUGUUCUGCUGUUCUCAAUGGGCAAAGUGCAAAUGCUGCUGUGUUAGAGAAAUAAAUAAGACUGUUUACACUCAGAAAAUAAA